rnacentral:lncRNA from 1 species
GCCAACAGCCAAUAGCUGAGCAGAAGAGACAUCAGAGUGGGAGUUCGACCUCUGAUUCUGACACCUUAAUGGAGAUUUUUCUCAACGUUAAGAACCAACACAGAGGCUUCUCACAAGUUUCUCACGAGAUGCUGCCCUUCAGAAGGUGAGGAGGCUUUGCAGAGGCACAGCGUGUGCUUCUUGAUGUGGAAAACAAACCCACAAAAAGCCUCUGGAGCUGGGCAUUCCUUGCCUCACACCACUGAGAGAGGAAACACAAGUUACCAACGCACUCACGGCUAGUAAGAAUCAACCAGGCAGCUGGCAUUCAGAACUCCUCUCCCGGCCUGUGAUCCUCCUGAAGGCAGAGUUCUGGUCACUUCCAGGAUCAAAAGAAAGCUGAGGACGGAUGGGCAGUAAUCCUGUCACACACCCUACAUGAGGGUGAAGGACUGGACGGGCUGCGGCCGGCUUUGCUUUGAGGGCCGCUGCACCGCACAGGAUCUGGAGUGCACAGGAGUUGUGGGGUUGCCAGGCCUGGGCGUCCCUCCAUUAUUUAGCGAUGGUGAGGGGGGCUGACGUGCGGCACCGCAGAGCACUUUCUGGAACCAGCUUCUCGAAGGAGAGGAGGUGAAGGGUUUCGGUUCAAAGGAUGCACACUGUUCCCAGACCUUCCCUUGAGGGAACUUGGGCAGCGUGCUGUCUUUCUUUCUCUGCAGAGGUCUUGCUGGGCCUGCUGCUCAUUUUGUGAAUGUAGGCCAAAGGGAGGCCCCACAGAGCCCGCCCUUAAGCUGCUGUUUUCUCUGACAGGCCUGCAAGCAGGCAAAGAUUUGUUGCCAGUGUGUUCAUUGGCUGAUAGCUCUUCUCUCUGUUUCCCUCUCUCCCACUUUUUCUUCUUCUGUCUCCCCCCCCCCGCCCCCCUCAGAGCUCUGUAUGGCAAGAGUAUCGAGGUCAACCGAUGCACCAAGACCUCACAUAAGUCCCAUUAUCUAGGGAAGUGUCCUAAAUUCAGAAAGUUCUAGGAAAUAGGUGGGCAUGUCGGGCAGCACACAAACCUACUGGGCCAACACUGGACUGUAUUAUUCUACGCUAGAUGGUUUUAUUUUAAUUUUAAAUGUUUUUUUUGGUUUUGAAACAGAGUCUCACAUAGCCCAGAUUACCCUCAGAUUCACUGUGGAGCUGAGGACGAUCUUGAAAUCCCGAUUCUCCUGCCUCCAGCCUGUAAGUGAGCACAGAGAAGCACCCCC